rnacentral:rRNA from 1 species
ACGGCUCAGUAACACGUGGACAACCUACCCUAAGGAGGGGGAUAACCCCGGGAAACUGGGGAUAAUACCCCAUAGACUAGAGAAGCUGGAAUGCUCUCAAGUCCAAAGGUCCGCCGCCUUAGGAUGGGUCUGCGGUCGAUUAGGUUGUUGUUGGGGUAACGGCCCAACAAGCCCGUGAUCGAUACGGGUUGUGAGAGCAAGAGCCCGGAGAUGGAUUCUGAGACACGAAUCCAGGCCCUACGGGGCGCAGCAGGCGCGAAGACUUUACAAUGCGGGAAACCGUGAUAAGGGAACCCCGAGUGCCCGUAAAUUCGGGCUGUCCAUCAGCGUAAAUAACUGGUGAAGAAAGGGCCGGGCAAGACCGGUGCCAGCCGCCGCGGUAAUACCGGCGGCUCGAGUGGUGGCCACUAUUAUUGGGCUUAAAGCGUCCGUAGCUUGGUUGUUAAGUCUCUUGGGAAAUCUACCGGCUCAACCGGUAGGCGUUCAGGAGAUACUGGCAAUCUAGGGACCGGGAGAGGUGAGAGGUACUCCAGGGGUAGGAGUGAAAUCCUGUAAUCCUUGGGGGACCACCUGUGGCGAAGGCGUCUCACUAGAACGGCUCCGACAGUGAGGGACGAAAGCUGGGGGAGCAAACCGGAUUAGAUACCCGGGUAGUCCCAGCUGUAAACGAUGCGCGUUAGGUGUAUCGGUGACCACGAGUUACCGAGGUGCCGAAGGGAAACCGUGAAACGUGCCGCCUGGGAAGUACGGUCGCAAGGCCGAAACUUAAAGGAAUUGGCGGGGGAGCAC